UACAGAGGUCCCAAGCGUUGUUCGGAUUCACUGGGCGUAAAGGGUGCGUAGGCGGUCGGGUAAGUCUGAUGUGAAAUCUCACAGCUUAACUGUGAAACUGCAUUGGAUACUAUCCGGCUCGAGGAAUGGAGGGGAGACUGGAAUACUUGGUGUAGCAGUGAAAUGCGUAGAUAUCAAGUGGAACACCAGUGGCGAAGGCGGCAUCCUGGCCUGCGACUGACGCUGUGGCGCGAAAGCUAGGGGAGCGAACGGG
rnacentral:rRNA from 1 species